UACUUUACGAACUAGUCUCUCAGUUUUCUUUCUUGCUCAUAGUAUAUAACUCGGAUCGAACGGGAUCCGUUGACUAUAUCCUCUAGCUACCAUAGAACAGAUUAUAUAUAUCCGAUAUUAAGUCCGAUAUUAUCCGAUAUCUAAGUAUAUAAUAUAAAUACUAUUAUUCAUAUAUUACGACAUCUAAAGAGAACUUUUGCUCCGUUUGAUUUACCAAACUUGUAGCCUUGACUCUAAUUCCAGCAUCGAACGACAAUUUUUGAUUAUUUCCAACUCAGUGCUACAGUCCAAACUAUAUAGAGGGCACUAGCACAGACAUAUGUAUCAUAUAAGUAUGUCUGAACUAAUCCUGAUAAGACGCUCUGCGAAAGCUCGGAAGGGCUAUAAAAAGCCAGUGCCGGGGCUUGGGACCCAUCAGUUGUACAGUUCUGGACUAGAACUUCUAGUGACUCGAACAAAAAGUUGUUUAUUUUUAACAAAAAAAAAAGGCAAAAAUGAUUCCACUGGAGGUACUCCCUUAACUUCCACGUCUCUGGAGUGGAACUAGCAGGAGAGGCGAGUGAGAUGGAUCUGCCAAAGAAGGGACUUUAAGAACGAAGAACUGCUGGCGAAAUACUCGAAAGUUCAAGACAAACAUGUGGCACUUCUGGAUAAAUAUUCGAAAGGGCAAAAGUUCAGACAAAGUAUUCCAAAAUUCCGAAUGAACUGCAAGCAAAGAGUGUGGAAUCUGGAAUCUGAGAAGCAAAAAGCUCAAUUAGAACAAGCUUUUGUGAUCAGAAAGAAUCAAGUGAAAUUUUCAGAGCAAAUGGGAAUAAUAGGAGCUGUAAUGGCUGUCCUGCCACCCAAAAUGGAAGGCCUAACAAUAUAAUAUUUAACGAGUUGAUAUAAAAGUCAAACAGCUGGCAGAACUCAACCACCAGCCAUAGCCCACUCCUGUGCCCAGUUGUGAUCGGGACUUCCAUCCUCAUCUCGAUCAAAUGCUGAGAAUUUCAUGUCCUGAAUUUGGUUCCGAUGCGAUGUAUCUCCUCUACAGCCGUUUAUAUUUUUCAACAUGUAUCCUUCGCUUCUUAUCGCCCCCAACAACGUUUUCGACCAUUGUUUCUUAACUUUCGACUCUUUCUUUCUUUUCAAAAAUACUUCUCAUCUGGCCGUGUUCCUGGUCAUGGUUGGAUUUUCUAGAAAACUCUGUUCUGGACAAUAAGAGGGAAGGAUACAUGCUGAAAAAGAAGAACCGGGUGUUGUGGAGAUACAUCGCACUUUAGCCCAAUUCGUGGCAUGACAUCCUUAACACUCGAUCGGGAAGACGAUGAUAGUCCCGAUCACAGCUGGGCACAGGCAUUGGGCUUCGGCUGGUGGCUGAUUUCCGGCUAUCUGUAUGAAGUUUGAACUAGUCUUUAACUUUCAUCAGAUUUUUAUAUAUAAUAUUAUAUUUUUUUUUGAGAGAGAGACUUUCAUAGAUGGAAUGCCAUUGAAUACCAUUGAAACCGUUGUAAGAAUAAAAAGAAAAGCCACCUCUCUUCUAAUAGAACUUUGAAUUGUUCAAAAAUAUCUGGAGUUUAAUUUUAUUUAUAUGUUAUUGAAUUAAAUCAUUUUUAUUGUCAAAAUAUAGAAGGCAAUUUUUAUAAAUUAAAUAUGUUUUUGAAUAUU